UGGGGAAUAUUGCGCAAUGGGCGAAAGCCUGACGCAGCAACGCCGCGUGAGGGAUGACGGCCUUCGGGUUGUAAACCUCUUUCAGCAGGGACGAAGCGAGAGUGACGGUACCUGCAGAAGAAGGACCGGCCAACUACGUGCCAGCAGCCGCGGUAAUACGUAGGGUCCGAGCGUUGUCCGGAAUUAUUGGGCGUAAAGGGCUCGUAGGCGGUUCGUCACGUCGGGAGUGAAAACUCGGAGCUUAACUCCGAGCCUGCUUCCGAUACGGGCAGACUAGAGGUAGGCAGGGGAGAGCGGAACUCCUGGUGUAGCGGUGGAAUGCGCAGAUAUCAGGAGGAACACCGGUGGCGAAGGCGGUUCUCUGGGCAUUACCUGACGCUGAGGA
rnacentral:rRNA from 1 species